AGGAAUAUUGGUCAAUGGGCGGGAGCCUGAACCAGCCAAGUAGCGUGAAGGACGACGGCCCUACGGGUUGUAAACUUCUUUUAUAAGGGAAUAAAGUUCGCCACGUGUGGUGUUUUGUAUGUACCUUAUGAAUAAGCAUCGGCUAAUUCCGUGCCAGCAGCCGCGGUAAUACGGAAGAUGCGAGCGUUAUCCGGAUUUAUUGGGUUUAAAGGGAGCGUAGGCGGGCUUUUAAGUCAGCGGUCAAAUGUCGUGGCUCAACCAUGUCAAGCCGUUGAAACUGCAAGCCUUGAGUCUGCACAGGGCACAUGGAAUUCGUGGUGUAGCGGUGAAAUGCUUAGAUAUCACGAAGAACUCCGAUCGCGAAGGCAUUGUGCCGGGGCAUAACUGACGCUGAGGCUCGAAAGUGCGGGUAUCAAACAGGAUUAGAUACCCUGGUAGUCCGCACGGUAAACGAUGAAUGCUCGCUAUGGGCGAUAUAUUGUCCGUGGCCAAGCGAAAGCGUUAAGCAUUCCACCUGGGGAGUACGCCGGCAACGGUGAAACUCAAAGGAAUUGACGGGGGCCCGCACAAGCGGAGGAACAUGUGGUUUAAUUCGAUGAUACGCGAGGAACCUUACCCGGGCUUGAAUUGCAGGUGCAUGAGUCAGAGACGGCUCUUUCCUUCGGGACUCCUGUGAAGGUGCUGCAUGGUUGUCGUCAGCUCGUGCCGUGAGGUGUCGGCUUAAGUGCCAUAACGAGCGCAACCCUUCUCCCCAGUUGCCAUCGGGUAAUGCCGGGCCCUCUGGGGACACUGCCAUCGUAAGAUGCGAGGAAGGUGGGGAUGACGUCAAAUCAGCACGGCCCUUACGUCCGGGGCCACACACGUGUUACAAUGGGGGGUACAGAGGGCCGCUGUCCGGUGACGGUCGGCCAAUCCCUAAAACCCCUCUCAGUUCGGACUGGAGUCUGCAACCCGACUCCACGAAGCUGGAUUCGCUAGUAAUCGCGCAUCAGCCAUGGCGCGGUGAAUACGUUCCCG
rnacentral:rRNA from 1 species